AAUCUAGACAGAUUUUUAACCAUUUAGUAAUCUCUGAUUGGAUUAACAGGUUACCUGGAGUAACAGUUUGUGUUUCCCCAAAAGUUUGAGUGAAGAGCAAAAUAAACAUGUAUACAUAAAAGAAGUGGGGGGUUGACCUGUUGGGUACCUCAGUUCAACUUCUCAUUAAAAAGCCUGAUUGGAAACACCUGCCCGUAGGAAGGACCUAUAAAGACAGCAGCAUGUCCUAAACACGUAACUCAGAUGUACACUGGUGUUUGGUUGGAGUAGCUGGUGUGUGUGGACCUGUGGAAGUGUGAGUGCUUUGCAUGCACAGUCCAGCUGGAGGGUUUGUGAGGACAGUGAGUGCAGCUACUGGAGUCAUGGUUGCUCGGUUGUUAAUUGCAAGGUACAAUGUUUAAAUGUAUUUUCAUGAUAUGCACUUCCUGUGCUUGAAUGUGAACCUUUGGUCUGGUUUUAUCUUGACUGUAUUUGUGCUGCUUGACAGGUUUUUACUGCUUUAUGUUUUGAGUGAUGUGAACUAUUCCUCGGCUUUUCCAAGAGCCACAAGUUCUGUGCAGCCUAGAGCAUGGCAGGGUGGAAGAGGGGAACAAGAUGUGUAUGGAAAUCCUCGUCCUUUCCAGUACAUGAGGGCUCUGAGGCCGACGGAUCCAAUGAUCUACCCUAACACCCAUGGAAACAUCUCUGCUCCAGCCACGAGCACACAGAAACCAUCUUGUGGCCAAGCCCAGGAGCUUUAACAUAAGCCUGAGGAUUCCUUUUGCUCACACUCGUGAUGGUGCUUAUCGUCCUCGGUGGCCAGGAACAUCACGGUGGACGUCGACACAGGCCUGAGAAAGACGAUUUGGGUCGUCAAACAGAGCACUUGCCAGUUCAUACAAGGCCGUACCCUGACCAGCAUCGUGAGGAUCACGAGCAUCGUGAUGAAGGCCGCCUGCAGGAGUUUGCAUUUCCAAAGCCAGAUGGACCAGAACACCCAUCAAGGCUGCGUCAUCCUCAAAGAUAUGUCGACCCUUACAGUGGCUACUACAACUCCCAGAUGAAUCCUACGUGGAAUGACUACUGGUGGCAUUACCGUGGACCUCACUGGGGUCAUGUAAAGCAUCAGUCUUCUGACCCUUGGCCAAAUUUCCAUCGGUCAGCUUCAGACUGGCAUGGAUGGAAGAGAUGACCCAAACUCACAGGGCAGAGCUGCUGCAGCAGUGGGUGGGCACAUCUACGGCCCCCGACAGAGCAGUUGGGCGAGCACCUCCACAUCGCUUUGGUCUGACCCCACUUUUUGUCUGCUUCCUUCUUAGCUGGAAUAUGGUCAGAGGAUGAGGAGGCAGAAUAAAGGGACAGAAAUAUCUUCUAAAGGUUUUGAUAAGUCUGGUGUGGCUGAGAAAAGUGCAGCCUCAUGUCUUUAGUAAAUCUAAAGACUCUAUAGCACCCCCAAGAGGCUGAAAUGUUUAUUACAAUGAAUGAGCACUUUUAAACAUGCAAUUAUUCAAGCUGUUACACAGUAUUACUGUUUAUGACCAAAAUGAGGUUGCAUGGAAGAAACUGUCUUCUAUGGUGUCACCAAUGAAUGCAUCUGUGUGAUAUUUUCAGACUG
rnacentral:lncRNA from 1 species